rnacentral:rRNA from 1 species
AUUGAACGCUGGCGGCAUGCCUUACACAUGCAAGUCGAACGGCAGCACGGGGGCAACCCUGGUGGCGAGUGGCGAACGGGUGAGUAAUGCAUCGGAACGUGUCCUUUUGUGGGGGAUAACCAGUCGAAAGAUUGGCUAAUACCGCAUGAGAUCGCAAGACGAACGCGGGGGACCGCAAGGCCUCGCGGUAGAGGAACGGCCGAUGCCGGAUGAGCCAGUUGGAGGGGUAAAAGCCUACCAGGGCGACAAUCCGUAGCUGGUCUGAGAGGACUACCAGCAACACUGGGACUGAGACACGGCCCAGACUCCUACGGGAGGCAGCAGUGGGGAAUUUUGGACAAUGGGCGCAAGCCUGAUCCAGCCAUGCCGCGUGUGUGAAGAAGGCCUUCGGGUUGUAAAGCACUUUCGGACGGAACGAAAUCGCGCGGACGAACAUUCCGCGUGGAUGACGGUACCGUAAGAAGAAGCACCGGCUAACUUCGUGCCAGCCGCCGCGGUAAUAC